UACCUGGUUGAUCCUGCCAGUAGUCAUAUGCUUGUCUUAAAGAUUAAGCCAUGCAUGUCUCAGUAUAAGUCUUUACACGGCGAAACUGCGAAUGGCUCAUUAAAACAGUUAUAGUUUCCUUCUUGUUUGCUCUUAUUCGGAUAACUGUGGUAAUUCUAGAGCUAAUACGUGCGUUAAAUCCCGACUUCGCGGAAGGGAUGUAGUUAUUAGAUACUAAACCAAUUCGCUUCGGCGGUUUUUGGAUGAUUCAUAAUAACCGAAUGGAUCGCACUGGCAUGUGCCGGCGAUUUAAGAUUCAAGUUUCUGACCUAUCAGACUGUCGACGGUAAGGUAUUGGCUUACCGUGGUUAUGACGGGUAACGGAGAAUUAGGGUUCGAUUCCGGAGAGGGAGCCCGAGAAACGGCUACCACAUCUAAGGAAGGCAGCAGGCGCGCAAAUUACCCAAUUCUGACACAGAGAGGUAGUGACAAGAAAUAACAAAGUAGGGCCUUCAUGGUCUUUACUAUUGGAAUGAGUAGAAUUUAAAUCCCUUUACGACUAUCAAUUGGAGGGCAAGUCUGGUGCCAGCAGCCGCGGUAAUUCCAGCUCCAAUAGCGUAUAUUAAAGUUGUUGCGGUUAAAAAGCUCGUAGUUGGAUUUCUGUUGAGGACGAUCGGUCCGCAUUUUAGUGCGUGUAUCUGAUUCGGCCUUGGCAUCUUCUUGGGGAACGUUCCUGUGAUUGAUUUCGCAGACGGUAUUCAAGACUUUUACUUUGAGGAAAUUAGAGUGUUUCAGGCAGGCUUGCGCCUUGAAUAUAUUAGCAUGGAAUAAUAAUAAAAGACCUGGGUCUUAUUAUUGGUUUUAGGACCGAGGUAAUGAUUAAUAGGGAUAAUUGGGGGCAUUCGUACUAACGCGUCAGAGGUGGAAUUCUUGGAUUGCGUUAUGACGAACUAAUGCGAAAGCAUUUGCCAAGGAUGUUUUCAUUGAUCAAGAACGAAAGUGUGGGGAUCGAAGACGAUUAGAUACCGUCGUAGUCUACACCAUAAACUAUGCCAUCUAGAGAUUGGAGGUCGUUAAUUAUUUGACUCCUUCAGCACCUUAUGAGAAAUCAAAGUCUUUGGGUUCCGGGGGGAGUAUGGUCGCAAGGCUGAAACUUAAAGGAAUUGACGGAAGGGCACCACCAGGAGUGGAGCCUGCGGCUUAAUUUGACUCAACACGGGAAAACUUACCAGGUCCAGACAUAGUAAGGAUUGACAGGUUGAGAGCUCUUUCUUGAUUCUAUGGGUGGUGGUGCAUGGCCGUUCUUAGUUGGUGGAGUGAUUUGUCUGGUUAAUUUCGUUAACGAACGAGACCUUAUCCUGCUAAAUAGUUCUACUUAUCUUCGGAUAGGUAGCCUACUUCUUAGAGGGACUAUGUGUGUUUAGCACAUGGAAGUUUGAGGCAAUAACAGGUCUGUGAUGCCCUUAGAUGUUCUGGGCUGCACGCGCGCUACACUGAUGCGUUCAACGAGUUUAUAACCUUGCUCGAUAGAGUUGGGUAAUCUUUUGAAAACGCUAUCGUGAUGGGGAUAGAUUAUUGUAAUUAUUAAUCUUCAACGAGGAAUUCCUAGUAAGCGCGAGUCAUCAGCUCGUGCUGAUUACGUCCCUGCCCUUUGUACACACCGCCCGUCGCUCCUACCGAUUGAGUAAUCCGGUGAAUAAUUUGGACCGAAGUGAAGCUCGUUUUCGGACGCGCUUUAUUUUGGGAAGUCUAGUAAACCUUAUUACUUAGAGGAAGGAGAAGUCGUAACAAGGUUUCCGUAGGUGAACCUGCAGAAGGAUC
rnacentral:rRNA from 1 species